UUGUGGGAGGUGGGAUAGGCUAAAUGGACAAGGGGCAUUAAGAAGACAUUUGUUGGGAUGAGCACGGCCUGUUCUAUAUAGGGAUGAACCACUGGAUCCUACUCCCGAAAUCAUGAUUAUUGCUAACUAACUUGGAUGUAAUGAAAAAAAAAUUUUUAAACCCAAAAAACAAAAACCGAACAAACAAAACCCCAGAUCAUUGUCUUGGUUUAAAAUCCAGGGAUCAUGCAUCUUUGCACAUACCUAAAGGAGUUAAAAACAAUGUGUACAAAAAAACCCUGCACAAGUAUGUUGACAGUGGCUCUAUCCAUAACUGUCCACACCUGGCAGCAGCCAAUCGCAAUGCCUUUCAGGAGGUGACAGGUGAGUAAACCCCAACGAUAGAAUAUUGAUCAGAGCUACAAAGAUAUGAGGCACCAAGACAUAAAAAGACACAGAAAACAUUUUGUUGCACGUUGCUAAAUGAAAGCAGCCAACGUGUAAUGGCUGCACGCUGUGUGACUCCAAGCAUGUAACAUUCUCCAAAAAGGCAAAUCUAUUUAGACAAUAAAAGAAUCAGUGGUUGCAAGGGGUUGAGCAUAGGGAGGGAUGCACAGCUGGAGCAGAGAGGUUUUUGUGGCAGUGAAAGUGCUCUUUAUGAUUCUAAAAUGGACAUAUAUCAGUGUAUAGCUCUUGCCCUAUUGAAUGAGCAACGUCAAGAGUCAGCUUUGCUGUUGUAAAUAUAGACUUUGGGUGACAAUGACUUGUCAGUGUUGGUUCAUGGUGUAUAACAAGUGACCAUACUCAGGCUAGAGUUGGAUGAUGGGAAAGACAAGGUGGUGGAGGGGGUUGGUGUAUUUGUGAACUCUGGAAAUUCUACUAAAUUCUUCUGUGACAAUAAAUCAUAAAGUCUAUUGAUGUUUUUAAGUAUUCUGUGGGCAAGACCAAACAUAUGGGCAUGCCUGGGUCUCGGGCAGCAGGGGGCGCUGUGGCCUGUCUCUGAGCCUUGUGUGCUGUGAUCCCAACUGGGAGCCACCUGCCUCUGGUUGUCACAGUGGCUUAGCCUCUGGGUGCUCACAGGUGCUUCCUUGCAGGGGUCUCCCCAGUGGUGAAGCCAACCUCCAUUGUCCCCAGUAUGCGAUGUGAGGUGGCCAGAGUGACAGCUGACAAAGAUUUUCAGUGUGGAACCCUGUAGGGAUGCACACGAGGGAUGUGGGCUUCUACCCACAACCUGGACAAAAGGUCUCCCUGUGUCCUCAGUGCUGAGGGAGGUUCUGGGAAAGGAAAACUCUCAGACCAGAGAGGAAGCAGGGAAGGGGGAAGGAAUCGGCCUCCUGCACAGAACUGGCCAUGUGUCAAUGUGGACCCAUCGCUCUGUGACCCUGAUCCUCAUCUGUGUGUUGUACAAGAGUCACCAUGUCAGUGCUGCCCCAUCAAUAAUAGCCAAAGGCGCUGUGGACAGACUCACUAUGCAGAGCCAGAGGAGAGCACAGUGUGUCUUCAGGGGAUCGGAGGCCACACAGGGGACACCUGUCCUGUCCCGAAGGAAGGGGAUGGUGGACAGAACAGUGGGAAGGCAGGAACUCUGAUGAGAUCUGCUCACCAUGUCACAUAUGCUGUGUCUGGGCCUGGACACCAGGGGGUGGUCGUCACCUGCUUCUGAGGGUCGACCAUGACUAGAGCUGGGACCUGCACCUGGACAAUGCCUGUGCCCUCUGCUCAGGACUCCAAACUGUGACCUCCCCUCUCCUGGCAUGGCCCCAGAGACCACCUCCCUGUCCAACCCACCUGACAUCCUCAGGCAGAGGGACUUGACCCAGGGUCAGUGAAGUGUCAGAGAGCUGCUGGUCUGAUUUGCAUGGAUGGGCCCUCCCUCUCUCAGAGGAUGAAAAGGGGAAGGAAGGGAUUAGAGGAGAUCUGCUCAGCUGUGGAUCCACAGAAGGCAGGGUUGGUAAUGACCUCCACCAUGGCCUGGUUCCCUCUUCUCCUCACCCUCCUCAUCUACUGCACAGGUUCCUGGGCCCAGUCUGAGCUGACUCAGCCGCCCUCAGUGUCUGGGGGCCUGGGCCAGACGGUCACCAUCUCCUGUGAUGGAAGCAUCACCAACAUUGGUAGAAUUAAUGUGAACUAGUGCCAACAGCUUCCAGGAAAGGCCUCUAAACUCCUCAUCUAUGGUAAUAACAGACGACCGUCAAGUGUCACUGACAGAUUUUCUGGCUCCAAGUCUGGCACCACAGGCUCCUUGACCAUCACUGGGCUCCAGGCUGAGGACGAGGCAGAUUAUUACUGCCAGACCAUUCACUUAACUGUCAGUGAUUACACAAUGUUCCAGGCUCAUGGGGAAGUGAGACAAAAACCUGCUGUCCCCACAGAAAUGGGACUUGCUGUGUAGCCCUGACAUUUUGGCCCCAUCAGCUGUUUCUUUGUUUGAUAUCAACUGAGGUCUGUCACCCGCCUCAAAGAAUUUGUCUACAAAUCUUUCCACAUUCUCUUAAAUUUCUCUUUGAAGCCUGUCCUGGGGAGCAAGAUAUUUUCUGAUUUUCUCAAACUGAGCGCAAAUUCCUGGGCGCCAGAAACAGGUCACCCUGAGGACAGUGACCAUGUCACAUUAGAGCAGAAACAGGGUCACAAAAUCCAGAGUAUCUAUGGCUGAUUCGUACACAUGGGUCUUUUGAAAUGAGUCCCUGUCCAUUCCCAUCAGUGCUGAGAUCUAGCCAGUGAUUUUUGUUAUUCACUUGCUAUUUGUUAUUCACUUUGUUAAUACUUACUUGCAGAAGGAUGUUGAGUUAUAAUGGUGUUUAGGUCACAUUAGCCUGUUCACCUUGCAGAAAUGUCCUCCCCUCCACCACCCCAUUAUUUAAUUCCCUGGUUGUGGGAGUGAGUUCUAUAUGUCUAGGAGGGAAUGUGCUAUCACAAUAUAAAUGUUUCUAUCUGUUUCCA